rnacentral:rRNA from 1 species
GUGGGGAAUAUUGCGCAAUGGGGGAAACCCUGACGCAACAACGCCGCGUGAGUGAUGAAGGUUUUCGGAUCGUAAAACUCUGUCUUUGGGGAAGAUAAUGACGGUACCCAAGGAGGAAGCCCCGGCUAACUACGUGCCAGCAGCCGCGGUAAUACGUAGGGGGCAAGCGUUGUCCGGAUUUACUGGGCGUAAAGAGCAUGUAGGCGGUUAUUUAAGUCAGAUGUGAAAGUUUUCGGCUCAACCGGAAAAGUGCAUUUGAAACUGGAUGACUUGAGUAUCGGAGAGGUAAGCGGAAUUCCUAGUGUAGCGGUGAAAUGCGUAGAGAUUAGGAAGAACACCAGUGGCGAAGGCGGCUUACUGGACGAAGACUGACGCUGAGAUGCGAAAGCGUGGGGAGCAAACAGGAUUAGAUACCCUAGUAGACC